UGCGUAGGUGGUUUGUUAAGUCAGAUGUGAAAGCCCUGGGCUCAACCUGGGAACUGCAUUUGAUACUGGCAGGCUAGAGUGCGGUAGAGGGUGGUGGAAUUCCCGGUGUAGCGGUGAAAUGCGUAGAGAUCGGGAGGAACAUUCGUGGCGAAGGCGGCCACCUGGACCAGCACUGACACUGAGGCACGAAAGCGUGGGAGCAAACA
rnacentral:rRNA from 1 species